AUUGAACGCUGGCGGCAGGCCUAACACAUGCAAGUCGAGCGGAUGAAGGGAGCUUGCUCCUGGAUUCAGCGGCGGACGGGUGAGUAAUGCCUAGGAAUCUGCCUGGUAGUGGGGGAUAACGUCCGGAAACGGGCGCUAAUACCGCAUACGUCCUGAGGGAGAAAGUGGGGGAUCUUCGGACCUCACGCUAUCAGAUGAGCCUAGGUCGGAUUAGCUAGUUGGUGGGGUAAAGGCCUACCAAGGCGACGAUCCGUAACUGGUCUGAGAGGAUGAUCAGUCACACCGGAACUGAGACACGGUCCAGACUCCUACGGGAGGCAGCAGUGGGGAAUAUUGGACAAAGGGCGAAAGCCUGAUCCAGCCAUGCCGCGUGUGUGAAGAAGGUCUUCGGAUUGUAAAGCACUUUAAGUUGGGAGGAAGGGCAGUAAGUUAAUACCUUGCUGUUUUGACGUUACCAACAGAAUAAGCACCGGCUAACUUCGUG
rnacentral:rRNA from 1 species